AUUGAACGCUGGCGGAAUGCUUUACACAUGCAAGUCGAACGGCAGCACGGGGGCAACCCUGGUGGCGAGUGGCGAACGGGUGAGUAAUACAUCGGAACGUGCCCAGUCGUGGGGGAUAACGCAGCGAAAGCUGUGCUAAUACCGCAUACGAUCUACGGAUGAAAGCGGGGGACCGUAAGGCCUCGCGCGAUUGGAGCGGCCGAUGGCAGAUUAGGUAGUUGGUGGGGUAAAGGCUCACCAAGCCGACGAUCUGUAGCUGGUCUGAGAGGACGACCAGCCACACUGGGACUGAGACACGGCCCAGACUCCUACGGGAGGCAGCAGUGGGGAAUUUUGGACAAUGGGCGCAAGCCUGAUCCAGCCAUUCCGCGUGCAGGAUGAAGGCCCUCGGGUUGUAAACUGCUUUUGUACGGAACGAAAAGGCGGCCUCUAAUACAGGUUGCUACUGACGGUACCGUAAGAAUAAGCACCGGCUAACUACGUGCCAGCCGCCGCAGUAA
rnacentral:rRNA from 1 species